GCCAGGUACAGUGGCGCAUACCUGUAAUCCCAGCAGCUCAGGAAGCUGAGACAGGAGGAUCAUGAGUUCAAAGCCAGCCUCAGCAAUGGUGAGGUGCUAAGCAACUCAUUGAGACCUUGUCUCUA
rnacentral:sRNA from 1 species